UGGCGGCGAUAGCGCGGUGGUCCCACCUGACCCCAUGCCGAACUCAGAAGUGAAACGCCGUAGCGCCGAUGAUAGUGUGGGGUCUCCCCAUGUGAGAGUAGGGAACUGCCA
rnacentral:rRNA from 1 species